AUGGUAAUCUCAUACGGAUCGAUCACCUCUAAGAGGGUGAUGGCGUCGCCGCCAGCUCCUGUCAUCAGUCAACCCAUCACCCCUCCGAUGAACAGGCAAGAUAUAAGAAUCUUUUUGGUCAUGUGGAAGGCUCACAUCAAAGAGAAUGGCAUGGGAAACUUGUACCUUCAGUGCAUUCUACUCGAUCAGCAUGGAACAAAGAUGGAAGCGAUUGCGUACAAUAGCCAGGCAAUCCGUUUCAAUAGCAUGCUACAAACCGGUAGGACCUAUGAUUUCAAUCGCGUCGGGUUCAGCCCCACAGAAAUGCCAGAUGGACAUUUCUGGUACCUAGCCAUGAACUUUGUCACCACACUAAGUUCUACGACCGAGGUUUGGAUGUCGGCACAGCAGAUAACGUCGACAAUUUGCCCACCAUGCUUCCCACAGUUUGGAGAAAUAUUUGAGCUACGGGACAAAACCAUCACUGAUGUGGUUGCUAUCCUUGCAUACGUUGGUCAGAUAGAAUAUAAGUGGGACUCAAUAUAUAAACACCGCGUCCCUUCCCUUGAGAUUGGCCUCAUGAACUUUCAACGGCAGAUAAUUUUCUUACGUGUACGUGAAGAGCACGUUGGGCGUCACUUCUGCCAUUUGCAAUGCACUGACAAUCUGUUCGAGAAGCUUGUGGUUACUUACAUACAGGUAAAUCGGAGGCAGCGAUGCUUGCAAACUAUGAGGGAGAGCACAUUCAUCUUCUCUCCUAACCUUAAUGAUGGUCAUCAUUAUCUACAAGAUAUCCAUGAAGCCAGCCUCAUGACACUUGAUGAAACACGUGCGUACGUCAAUGGUGUUGUUCAAGCUAGGAACAAUGGACGCUAG
rnacentral:rRNA from 1 species